GGCGUGUCUGCGCCACCUACCUGCCUGCGCCUCCCACGCUCCCAAGAAGGCGGGUGGGGCUAAGCGACACGGAGGCUCUUCCUGCAAACGGCGGGGCCCAGCUGCUGCAGGUGCUGCCGAGGAGCCCAUUCAGGCCGCACGGGGCACAGGGUCAUCCUCUCCCUCCGACGGCAGGUCUCGUCCGAGGCCUCCUCUGCCAGGGACCGAGGGGCCAGGCUCUGAGGCCCCCGCCGCCGCCUUCGUCCUUCCCAGCCCCGUUCUCGGGGGUCUGCGCCUCACUUCAGUGACCGGACCGGACAGGUCGCCGGGCAGAUACUCGGAGGCGCAGAGCCGGCGUCGUGGCGCCCACGGGUGGAACCCCAGCCUCGCGCACGUCCGUCUCCCGGGUCUCGGCGCCGCCAGCACCUCCCGACUCACAAUAGCCCGGGCGCAGCUGGCACCUGUGGGGCUGCCGCGCCGGCCUCCCGGAGCCGCCCAGCCGCCAAACUUCGCGAACCGGAAAGCGCGCCUCCGUGCUUUACGGCAAGGGCGCGCGCGUUUGCGACAGUGUGACGCGCUCCAGUUUUGGCGGGAAAAGCGCUGCAUUUGGAUUCCUGCGGUGGCGGGCAGAGGACGGCCUGCCGCGGUGCGCAGCGGAGCCAUGGCCGUGCCCUUCGUGGAAGACUGGGACCUGGUGCAGACCCUGGGGGAAGGUGCCUACGGAGAGGUUCAGCUUGCUGUGAAUAGAAGAACUGAAGAAGCAGUUGCAGUGAAGAUAGUAGACAUGAAGCGUGCCAUAGACUGUCCAGACAAUAUUAAGAAAGAGAUCUGUAUCAAUAAAAUGUUAAAUCAUGAGAAUGUAGUGAAAUUCUAUGGUCACAGGAGAGAAGGCAAUAUCCAAUAUCUAUUUCUGGAGUAUUGCAGUGGAGGAGAACUUUUUGAUCGAAUCGAGCCAGACAUAGGCAUGCCUGAACAAGAUGCUCAGAGGUUCUUCCAUCAACUCAUGGCAGGGGUGACUUAUCUGCAUGAUAUUGGAAUAACUCACAGGGAUAUUAAGCCAGAAAAUCUCCUAUUGGAUGAAAGGGAUAACCUCAAAAUCUCUGACUUCGGGCUGGCUACAGUGUUUCGGCAUAAUAACCGUGAGCGUUUAUUGAACAAGAUGUGUGGUACUUUACCUUAUGUUGCUCCAGAACUUCUAAAGAGAAAAGAAUUUCAUGCAGAACCAGUUGACGUUUGGUCCUGUGGAAUAGUACUUACUGCAAUGUUGGCUGGGGAAUUGCCAUGGGACCAGCCCAGUGACAGUUGUCAGGAAUAUUCUGAUUGGAAAGAAAAAAAAACAUACCUCAACCCUUGGAAAAAAAUCGAUUCUGCUCCUCUAGCUCUGCUGCAUAAAAUCCUAGUUGAGAAUCCGUCAGUAAGGAUUACCAUCCCAGACAUCAAAAAAGAUAGAUGGUACAACAAACUACUCAAGAAAGGAGCAAAGAGGCCCCGAGUCACUUCGGGUGGUGUAUCAGAGUCUCCUGGUGGAUUCUCUAAACACAUUCAGUCCAAUUUGGAUUUCUCUCUAGUAAACAGUGCUUCCAGUGAAGAAAACGUGAAGUACUCCAGUUCCCAGCCAGAACCACGGACAGGUCUUUCCUUAUGGGACACCAGCCCGUUAUACAUUGAUAAACUGGUACAAGGGAUCAGUUUCUCCCAGCCCACGUGUCCGGAUCAUAUGCUUCUGAAUAGUCAGUUACUCGGCACCCCGGGAUCCUCACAGAACCCCUGGCAGCGCUUGGUCAAAAGAAUGACACGCUUUUUUACCAAAUUGGAUGCGGACAAAUCUUACCAGUGCCUGAAAGAGACUUGUGAGAAACUGGGCUAUCAAUGGAAGAAGAGUUGUAUGAAUCAGGUUACUGUAUCAACAACUGAUAGAAGAAACAAUAAACUGAUUUUCAAAGUGAAUUUGGUAGAAAUGGAUGAGAAGAUCUUGGUUGACUUCCGGCUUUCUAAGGGUGAUGGAUUGGAAUUCAAGAGACACUUCCUGAAGAUUAAAGGCAAGCUGAGUGAUGUUGUGAGCAGCCAGAAGGUCUGGCUUCCUGCCACCUGAUAGAGCCAUCGGCUUUGGGAUUCCUGGGAAAAGAGAGCCUGGAGUUACCUAGUCCAUCAUCUUGAUGAUGUUGCUCCUCCUCAUUGCUGGGCUUUUGGUUGGAAUUCUACUAAAUUCUAUCAACUUUGGGAGAAUUGUCAGCUUUCCUGUGGUUGGCUUUAUGAGACUAUAGCCCAGUCCCACUCAGGGUGGCAUUCCCUGAGUUCUACUUUGGAAAUCUCUUUCCUAUGUCCAGCAGCCUGGCACUUCUAAGCCAAACCUGUGAGUGUCUGAGCACACCGUAUAAGAAAACAUGAUGAUGGAGAAUUCACUGUGGAACUUGGAGCGUUCUGGAACUAAGACAUCCAAAGGUGCUCCAGUCCCCGCCUCCUUUCUCUCCCGAUCUCUUUCGUCCUAAUGUUCCAGUUCCAGUGCCCCUAAAUGAACCCAAGAAUCAGCCAGCUCAGCCCCUGUAAUGUUCAUGGCCCGGCUGAAAAAAAGGUGAACUGAGCCAAUCAGAGUCUUCUCCCAGGAAUUUGCCGUUGAGACACAGAAAGACAGAGACAAUUUGCAAAAGAUCAUUUAGCCUCAUGUGCUGAGACCACUAUUUGGGGCCAAAUGGAGGAUGAGCAAGCUGAGAAGUCCAGGAGACGGUAACAGAGAGAAAAGAACACAGAAGAGUUGGUGACACCUUGCCUCAUUCAGUAAACCUUAACUAAUGGGAAAUUACAUAGAUGUCCACGCAGGGAACACAUACCACCCGGACUGGGCCACGUGGAGACCUGAACACAUCUGUGACCUGAGAUGGGGUUCUGGCUACACGGCCGUGCUAGUUGUAGUUAUCUUGUAGGACUUCGUUUCCUAUAGUCUUCCUCCCUAUGCCCCUACUGCUCUUGUUCUAAACUCACUUUCCUCUAGUCCUUCUAUUUUGAGACUCUGCUUACUCACAACUCCUGAUUCAUAACUUUCGCUUACUCACAGCCUCUGAAUAUUCAUUACAUCUGCUUACCCUUGACUUCAGAGGCGUGCCUUUGUCUAUCUUUUGAUCCUAGUGUGCGUUGUUGACUCUCCUCACAUUUGGUUUUCUUUGUUGUUUGUUAAUCCCACCCCUCUGAGGAUAUUUUUCCAUUGAUUUUUAGGGAGAGUAGAAGAGAGAGGGAAAGACAGAUAGAAAAAUCGAUGUGAGAGAAACACAUUG